rnacentral:rRNA from 1 species
UACGUAGGGGGCAAGCGUUGUCCGGAAUCAUUGGGCGUAAAGAGCGUGUAGGCGGCUCGAUAAGUCUGCUGUGAAAGUCCAGGGCUCAACCCUGGAAGGCCGGUGGAAACUGUCGGGCUUGAGUCCGGAAGAGGCGAGUGGAAUUCCCGGUGUAGCGGUGAAAUGCGCAGAUAUCGGGAGGAACACCAAUGGCGAAGGCAGCUCGCUGGGACGGUACUGACGCUGAGACGCGAAAGCGUGGGGAGCAAACAGG